GGGGUUGUGGCUCAGUGGUAGAGUACUGGCCUAACAUGCAUGAGGCACUGGGUUCAUUCCCCAGCACCA
rnacentral:tRNA from 1 species